CCAGCACCACUUAUUGAACAGGCUGUCUUUUCUCCAUUGUAUAUUCUUGCCUCCUUUGUCAUACAUGAGUUGGCUGUAGGUGCGUGGGUUGAAUUCUGGACUUUCUCUCCUGUUCCAGCGAUCUCUAUGUCUGUCUUUGUGCCAGUACCAUACAGUUUUGAUGAUUGUUGAUUUGUAGUACGGUCUGAAGUCCGGGAGCCUGAUUCCUCCAGCUCCAUUUUUCCUUUUCAGGAGGUCUUUGGCUAUUCUGGGUCUUUUGUGCUUCCAAACAAACUUGAAAAUAUUUUGUUCAAGUUCUGUGGAAAAGUGUCCUUGGUAUUUUGAUAGGGCAUUUAAUCUGUAGAUUGCCUUGGGUAGAAUAGUCAUUUUGAUAAUAUUGACUCUUCCAAUCCAAGAGCAUGGUAUGUCUUUCCAUCUGUGUCAUUUUUGAUUUCUGUCAUUGGUGGCUUAUAGUUUUCAGAGUACAGGUUUUAUCUCCUUAGGUAGGCAUACUCCUAGGUAUUUUAUUCUUUUGGAUGUGAUGGUAAACGGGAUUGCUUCCCUAAUUUCUCUUUCUACUCAUUCAUUGUUAGUGUAUAGAAAUGCCAUUGAUUUCUGUGUAAUAAUUUUGUAUCCUGUGACUUUGCCAAAUUCAUGGAUGAGCUCUAACAGUUUUCUGGUUAGUAUUCUCUAGGUAUAGUAUCAUGUCAUCUGCAAAUAGUGAUAGUUUUACUUCUUCCUUUCCAAUUUGAAUUCCUUUUACUUCUCUGGUUUCUGUGGCUAGGACUUCCAAAACUAUGUUGAAGAGUAGUGGCAGGAGUGGACAUCCUUGUCUUCUUCCUGAUCUCAGGAGGAAUUCUUUCAGCUUUUCACCAUUGAGAAUGAUGUUCACUGUGGGUUUGUCAUCUAUGGCCUUUAUUAUGUUGAGGUAGGUUCCCACCUUCUGAAGGGUUUUUAUCAGAAAUGGGUGUUGGAUUUUGUCAAAGGCAUUUUUCUGCUUCUAAUGAGAGGAUGAUGUGGUUUUUAUUAUUCAGUUUGUUAAUGUGGUGUAUCACACUGAUUGAUUUGCAGAUAUUGAAGAAUUCUUGCAUCCCUGGUAUAAAUCCCACUUGAUCAUGAUGCACAAUCCUUUAAGUGCAUUGUUGGAUUUGCUUUGGUGAUAUGUUGUUGAGGAUUUUGGCAUCUAUGUUCAUCAGUGAAAUUGACCUCUAAUUUUUUUUUGUGAUGUCUUUGGUUUUGUUAUGAGGGUGAUGGUGGCCUCAUAGAUUGAGUUUGGGAGUGUUCCCUCCUCUGCAAUUUUUUGGAAUAGUUUCAGAAGGAUAUCUAUUAGCUCUUCUCUCAACGUUUGAUAGAAUUUGCCUGUGGAGCCAUUUGGUCCUGGACUUUUGUUUGUUGUAAGUUCUUAUUUCACAUUUUCAAUUUCAGUGCUUGUGAUUAGUCCAUUCAUCUUUUCUAUUUCAUCUUGGUUUGGUCUUGGAAGAUUGAACUUUUCUAGGAAUCUGUCCAUUUCCUCUAGUUUUCCGUUUUAUUGACAAAUAGUUGCAUAUAGUAGUCUCUUAUGAGCCUAUGUGUUUCUGUGAUGUCUGUUGUUACUUCUUUUUCAUUUCUAAUUUCAUUCAUUGGAGUCUUCUCUCUUUUUUUCUUGAUAAGUCUGGCUAAGGGUUUAUAAAUUUUGUUGAUCUUUUCGAAGAACCAGCUUUUCGUUUCAUUGAUCUUCUCUAUGGUUUUCUUCAUUUCUAUGUCAUUGUUUUCUUCUCUGAUCUUUACGAUUUCUUUCCUUCUACUAACUUUAGAUCUUGUCUGUUCUUCUCUCUAGCUGCUUUAGAUGUAAAGUUAGCUUCUUUAUUUGAGCUUUUUCUUGUUUCCUAAUGUGGGCUUGUAUUGGUAUAAACUUCCCUCUCAGAACGGCUUUUGCUGCAUCCCAUAGGUUCUGGAGUGUUGUCUCUUUGCUGUCAUUUGCUUCUAGGUAUUUUUUUAAUUUCCUCUUUGAUUUCUUCAGUGAUCCAUUGGUUGUUUAGUAGCAUGUGGUUUCAUCUCCACGUGUUUGUGUUUCUUGCAGUUUUCUUUCUUGCUGUUGAUUUCCAGUCAUAUAGCAUUGUGUUCAGAAAAGAUGCUUAAUAUGAUUUCAAUUUUCUUAAAGUUACCAAGGUUGGAUUUGUAGCCCAGGAUGUGAUCAAUCUUAGAGAUUGUUCCAUGUGCACUUGAGAAAAAUGUGUAUUCUGUUGCUUUUGCAUGGAAUGUCCUAUAAAUACCUAUUAAAUCCAUCUGGUCUGAUGCUUCAUUCAGGGCCUGUGUUUCCUUAUUAAUUUUCUGUCUGGAUGAUCUGUCCAUCGCUGUAAGUGGGGUGUUAAAGUCCCCCACUAUUAUCAUGUUAUUGUCGAUUUGUCCUUUUAAGGUUGUCAGCAGUUGCCUUAUAUGUUGUGGUGAUCCUAUGUUGGGUGUGCUGAUAUUUAAAAUUGUUAAAUCUUUUUCAUGGAUUGAUCCUUUGAUCAUUAGGUAGUGACCUUCCUUGUCCCUUAACAUAUUCUUCAUUUUGAAGUCUAUCUUGUCUGAUAGGAGUAUUGCUACCCCAUCUUUCUUUUGAUUCCCAUUUGCAUGGAAUAUUUUCUUCCAUCCUCUCACUUUCAAUUUGUGUGUGUCCCUAGAAGUGAAGUGGGUCUCUUGAAAACAGCAUAUAUAUGGGUCUUGUUUUUGUAUCCAUUCAGCCAGUCUCUGUCUUUUGCUUAGGGAGUUUAGUCCAUUAACAUUUAAAAUAAUUAUUGAUAUGUAUAUUCUUAUUGCCAUUUUAUUAAUUGCUUUGGAUUUGUUUUUGUUGCUCUUUUACCUUCCCUUCUUGUUCUCUCCUCUUGUGGUUUAAUGACACUCUUUAGUAUUGUAUUUGAGUAAAUUUUUCUUAUUUGUUUCUGUAUCAAUCGUAGAUUUUUGGUUUGCAGUUAUUCUGAAGUUUUGAUAUAAGAAUCUGCAUAUAUAUGAGAUUGUUUUAAGUUGUUGGUCUCUUAAUUGCAGGUGCAUCUCCAGUGUCCUGCAUUUGUCCCCUCCUCUUCUCACGAUUUCUGAUUUUGGUGGCAUAAUUGAGCAUGGAUGAUUUCAUAUCUUUACUGUAUAUGUACCUUUACUGGUGAACCUUGUCAUUUGUGUUUUUUUUGUUUGUUUCUGGUUGUGGCCUUUUCUUUUCUGCCUAGAGAAGUUCCUUUAGCAUUUGUUUUAAAGCUGGUUUAGUGUUGCCGAAUUCUCUUAGCUGUUGCUUAUCUCUGAAGCUUUUGAUUUCUCCUUCAAAUCUGAAUGAGAGCCUUGCUGGGUCGAGUAAUCUUGGUUAGAGGUUUUUUUCCUUUCAUCACGUUAAGUAUAUCAUGCCACUCCCUUCUGGCCUGCAGAGUUUCUGCUGAAAAAUCUGCCAAUAACCUUAUCGGGGUUCCCUUGUAUGUUAUUUGUUUCUUUUCCCUAGCUGCUUUCAAGAUUUUCUCUUUGUCUUUAAUUUUGGUCAGUUUGAUUAAUAUGUGUCUUGGUGCAUUCCUCCUUGGGUUUAUUUUAUAUGGUACUUUUUGUGCUUCCUGGAUUUGAGUGAGUGGUUCCUUUCCCAUGCUAGGGAAGUUUUCGGCUGUUAUCUCUUCAAAUAGUUUUUCUGUCCCCUUCUCUCUCUUUCCUCCUUCUAGCACCCCUAUAAUAGACAUGUUGGUGUGUUUAAUGUUGUCCCAGAGUUCUCUGAGACUCUUUUCAUUUGUUUUCCAUCUUUUUUUCUCUUUUCUGUUCUGCAUCCAUGAUUUCGACUCGUUUGUCCUCCACCUUGCUUAUUCAUUCUUCUUCCUCCUAUAUUCUACUGUUGGCUGCUUCUAAUGAAUUUUUUAUUUCAGUUAUUGUCAUUUUGCAUCUCUUCUUGCUUAAGUUUUAUAUCUUGUAUCUCUUUGCUCUGUGUUUCCUGUAAAUUAUCCAUCUUUGCCUCCAGUUUAUUUCCAAUGUCUUGCGUCAUCUUCAGCAUCAACAAUCUAAAGUCUUUUUCCUGGAGGCUGAGAAUCUCCUGAUCCCUUAGCUGUUUUUCUGAGUUUUUUUUCUUUCUCCCUCCUCUGAGUUAUAGUUCUCUGUCUUUUCAUUUUUAUAGGUUUUUGGUGUGGUGAUCUUUUUACAGAUAAUAGAGUUGUAGCCUCUCUUACUUCUGGUGUCUGCCCCCCUUGUGGCUGAAGUUGGCAUGGAGGCUUGUUGUAGGCUUCCUGAUGGGAGGGAAUGGUGCCUGCCCACUGGUAGGUUUGAGGUGAUUCCUAUCCCUCUAGUGGGUGGGGCUUUGUCUCUGAGUGAGAUUAGAAGCAGUUUUGUGCCUGGGGGGUCUUUAGGCAGCCUGUUUACUGAUGGGUGGGGCUGUGAUCCCACCUGGAUUUUUUUUUUUUUUUUUUUUUGGCCUGGGAUUUCCCAGUGCUGAUGGGUGAGGCCAGAUUCUCCCAAAAUGGCCACCUCCAGAGAAACACAUGUUGAUGAAUAUUCCCAAGAGCUUUGCUUCCAAUGUCCUUCCCCCACAACAAGCCACAUUCACCCCUGUUUUCCCAGGAUGUCUUCCCAAAACUGCAGUCAUAUCAUACCCAGAUAUCUAUGGAGACUUUCCUUUGCCCUGUGACCCAGUCUAGUCAAAAAUCUGUGGGUACCUUAUAAGAAUGGGGCCUCCAUUUCCCCCAGUCCCAUGGAGCUCCUGCACACAAGCCCAACUGGCCUUCAAUGCCAGAUGUUCUGGGGGCUCUUUCUUCCUGUUCCAGAUGUUUGAUGUAGGGCUCAGAACUCUCCCUCCUGUAGGUGAGUCUCUGUGAUACAGUUACUUUCCAGUCUGUGGGAAGUAUGGGGUUGAUUAUAUUGUAUAAUCAUCCCUCCUACCUCUUUAUGUGACUUCCUCUUUGUCUUCUGGAGUAGGAUAUCCUUUUGAAAGUUUCCUGUCCAUUUGUUUGAAGAUUGAUCAGCAUUUUGUUGUAAUUUUGUUGUUUUUAGGAGAGAAGUUGAGCUCCAGUCCUUUUCUCCCACAAUCUUAAUCCCAUCUCCUUUUUCAUUGAAUAACCUGGCAGUGCCAUAUUGGCUAAUAUCUUCCUUGUUCUUUAGCAGCUAACAUAUUGCAUCUUCCAUGUACAUGAGGAGAUGUCGCUGGGCCAGUUAUUCAUAGUCUGGUAGGGCUAGGUGCUAUGGAUUCAGCAUCUUUUGAUCAGAAUAGCUUCAGAACUGCAGCUCUCUGGCUUAUGGAACCUGGGUCUCCCCAAAGUUUCUUUUCAGGAUAAUGAAAUGUUCUAACAUGAAAUUAUGGUAAUGUUUGUACAUGUCUCUGAAUAUACUAAAAAACAUUGAAUUACACAACUUAGAUGAAUUACAUGAUAUGAAAAUUAUAUCUCAGGAAAGCUUUUUAAAUUAUUGUCAUUGGAAUAUAGUUGACUGAGAAUGUAUUAUUUUGAGGUGUAUAGCAAAUUGAUUCAGUCAUACCUAUCAAUAUAUCCAUCUUUUUUUCAUAUAGAUUAAUGCAAACCAUUGAGUAGAUUCCCCUGUGCUAUAAGUAGGUUCUCAUUAAUCAUCUAUUUUAUGCAAUUUUGUGUGUAUGUUACUUUCACCUUUCCAAUUCUUCCCUCCCCCCUGUGGUUUCACCUAUGGUAACAUAACCAUAAGAUUGGUUUUGAAAUUUGUGAGUCUAUUUCUGUUUUGUGAAUAAGUUCUUUUAUACCAUUUUUAUUAGAUUACACAUAUUAGUGAUCUAAUAUCAUACAUGUCUUCCUCUGACUUCACUCAGUAUGAUAAUCUCUAGGCCCAUCCAUGUUGCCGCAAAUAGCAUUCUUUCUUUCUUUUUCUUUUUUGGCUAAUACUGCAUUGUAUAUAUGUACCUACCACAUCUCUUUGAUUCCCUCCUCUGUUGAUGGACAUUUAGGUUGCUGCCAUGUCUUACCUACUGUAAAUAGUGCUGUAGUGAACUGCGGGGAGCCAAGGAGACACAGGAGGCCAAGGGGAGCUAGCCUGAUGGCACAGUUCUGAAGGCAGGGUUCCUAACCGGAAAAAAAAAAAAAAAAAAAAAAAAAAAAAAAAAAA
rnacentral:lncRNA from 9 species